GACGAACCGUGCGAACGUUGUUCGGAAUCACUGGGCUUAAAGGGCGCGUAGGCGGUGCCGUCAGUCCGGGGUGAAAGCCCCCAGCUCAACUGGGGAAGGGCCUCGGAAACUGCGGCACUGGAGGAAGGUAGGGGUCGCGGGAACUUCUGGUGGAGCGGUGAAAUGCGUAGAUAUCGUUUGGAACGCCAAUGGUGAAAACAGGUAACUGGGAGUGCGCUGACGCUGAGACACGAAAGCCAGGGGAGCGAACGGG
rnacentral:rRNA from 1 species